GCCGACGUAGUUCAAUGGCAGAACAUCAGUGUCCCAAGCUGAAUAUGGGGUUCGAUUCCCGCCAUCGGCU
rnacentral:tRNA from 1 species